rnacentral:rRNA from 1 species
GACGAACGCUGGCGGCGUGCUUAACACAUGCAAGUCGAGCGGUAAGGCCCUUUCGGGGGUACACGAGCGGCGAACGGGUGAGUAACACGUGGGUGACCUGCCCUCAGCUCUGGGAUAAGCCUGGGAAACCGGGUCUAAUACUGGAUAUGACUCCAUGACGCAUGUUGUGGGGUGAAAGCCUUGUGCGGCUGAGGAUGGGCCCGCGGCCUAUCAGCUUGUUGGUGGGGUGANGGCCCUACCAAGGCGACGACGGGUAGCCGGCCUGAGAGGGCGACCGGCCACACUGGGACUGAGACACGGCCCAGACUCCUACGGGAGGCAGCAGUGGGGAAUCUUGCGCAAUGGGCGAAAGCCUGACGCAGCGACGCCGCGUGAGGGAUGACGGCC